rnacentral:rRNA from 1 species
GUGAGGAAUUUUCCGCAAUGGGCGAAAGCCUGACGGAGCAGUGCCGCGUGAAGGAUGAAGGCCUAUGGGUUGUAAACUUCUUUUCUCAGAAAAGAAUUAUGACGGUAUCUGAGGAAUAAGCAUCGGCUAACUCUGUGCCAGCAGCCGCGGUAAGACAGAGGAUGCAAGCGUUAUCCGGAAUGAUUGGGCGUAAAGCGUCUGUAGGUUGUUUAAAAAGUAUUCUGUAAAAGAUUAGGGCUUAACCCUAGAUAGGCAGAAUAAACUUUUAAGCUAGAGUUUGGUAGAGGCAGAGGGAAUUCCCGGUGGAGCGGUGAAAUGCGUAGAUAUCGGGAGGAACACCAAAGGCGAAGGCACUCUGCUGGGCCAAUACUAACACUGAGAGACGAAAGCGAGGGGAGCAAAUGGGAUUAGAAACCCGAGUAGUCC